UUGUUUUCUCUAGUCUUGCAUUGUCCACCUUCAGUGUUCAAGCAAUUUUAAUUAAAGAUUUAGUUUGUGAAUUAUUUUCAAUUUUCUUGGCUGUAAGAUGAAGUUUCUUAAACAGCAUCUAGAGGAGAAUAUGAUUGUAUAUUACAAAAUUUGAAGCAUCUUGACAAUUCUAUUGUUGCAGUGAAAACAAAAACCAGUUUCGUCUCACGACGAAAAGUAGGGACUAUAGCUAUUUAGGCUCGACAUGGCAUUUUAGGCGGAGGGAGGCAAGCAGGAAAAGGAAGAUUAGAUCGAAGAGAAACUUGUCAGCCAAAGUAACCAUUCCGAAGACGAGAAAAUGCAUACAAGAAGCAAUCGGUUUUGCGACAGAUUCGUAGCUAAUGUGCUUCUUCUUCAGCGGCUGAGAUGUAUAAGGUCGAGCGGGCAGCUGAAUCACGUUCAAUUAAUCAAUCCCUACGGCAGGGAUCUGGGGGAUGAAGGCCGUACGUCAGGCAGCCUGCCGCACUUCCAUCUCGUGCCAAUGUUGCUCUUCCGCUGUACGACAAAUGCGACACGUGGCUUACGCGCCAAUAUCGGACGACGAUAAACAAUCCGCAUCACGAACAAAUAAAUCAGGAACCAGUCUGAGGAACAGAAGAUUGAUCAGGAGUGUCAAUUAAUGUAA